rnacentral:rRNA from 1 species
UACGUAGGUGACAAGCGUUGUCCGGAUUUAUUGGGCGUAAAGAGCGUGUAGGCGGCCAGGUAGGUCUGCUGUGAAAACUCGAGGCUCAACCUCGAGAUGUCGGCUGAAACCAUCUGGCUAGAGUCCGGAAGAGGAGAAUGGAAUUCCCGGUGUAGCGGUGAAAUGCGCAGAUAUCGGGAAGAACACCCGUGGCUAAGGCGGCUCUCUAGUACGGUACUGACGCUGAGACGCGAAAGCGUGGGGAGCGAACAGG